GACAAGUAAGGGAUAAUUUCCUAAAGGUCUGGAAAUUAUAAUAAACAAUAUAGUUUAUGUAUGGUAUAAACUGUAUUUCAUUGUUAGUUGUUCAGGAAAGGUUCUGAAUAUAACUAAUAAUAAUAAACAUGUUUUAUGUAACUGGUGAGUUAUCAGUUACAACUAUAUGCAAAAAUGUCAGAAAGAGGUAUUCUGAUUAAAUUCACUUGAAGUUAGGAUUUUCUCUUAGGUAAUUUAUUUUCUUAGUAAGAUAGCAGAACUCAGCCUUUUUAUGUAUUUUUCUGACACACCAACAUAUUAUCUCUUGAGUUUAGAGAUAAGUUAGUAAAUAUCUCUUGAGUUUAGAGAUAAGUUAAUGAAUAUCUCUUGAGUGUAGAGAUAACUUUCUACAUGUAUCAUACUGAAUAGAUUCUUGUCAUAUCAUUUAAGUCUAUAGUU
rnacentral:lncRNA from 1 species